AGUGAAUUCCAUUUGAAGUGAAAAUCCUUUAUUUCCGCCUUUUCGGCGGAUAUAAAGAUUGUAACGGAUAGCAGGAUUAAGC
rnacentral:sRNA from 2 species